rnacentral:rRNA from 1 species
CCCACUGCUAUCGAGAUGGGACUAAGCCAUGCAAGUCGAACGACCCCGAACUAUGGCGGGGAAGUGGCAGACUGCUCAGUAACACGUAGUUAACCUACCCUUAGGACAGAAACAACCCCGGGAAACUGGGGCUAAUGUCCGAUAGGAGUGUAAACCUGGAAUGGUUACACUCCGAAUAGUCUUUGCGCCCAUGUUGCGUAAUGAUGCCUAAGGAUGGGACUGCGGCCGAUCAGGCAGUUGGUGAGGUAAAGGCUCACCAAACCUUUGACCGGUACGGGCCGUGAGAGCGGUAGCCCGGAGAUGGGCACUGAGACAGUGGCCCAGGCCCUACGGGGCGCAGCAGGCGCGAAACCUCCACAAUGCACGAAAGUGCGAUGGGGCUACCUCGAGUGCCGUCUGAAGAAGGCGGCUUUUCUAUGGUGUAAUGAGCCAUAGGAAUAAGAGGGGGGCAAGACUGGUGUCAGCCGCCGCGGUAACACCAGCUCCUCGAGUGGUGGGGAUGAUUAUUUGGCCUAAAGCGUCCGUAGCCGGCUAGGUAAGUCUCUCGUUAAAUCCAGCGUCCUAAGCGUUGGGCUGCGAGGGAGACUGCAGAGCUAGAGGAUGGGAGAGGUCAGCGGUAUUUCUGGGGUAGGGGCGAAAUCCUUUGAUCCCAGGAGGACCACCAGUGGCGAAGGCUGCUGACUAGAACAAGCCUGACGGUCAGGGACGAAAGCUGGG